rnacentral:sRNA from 1 species
GCGAGAAAGCGUUGCCGCAGGCAACGACCCGAAGGGCGAGGCGCAUCGCGCCGAGUCAUCCUUCCCCCACCACCA